rnacentral:rRNA from 1 species
GUGCCAGCAGCCGCGGUAAUACGUAGGGUCCGAGCGUUGUCCGGAAUUAUUGGGCGUAAAGAGCUCGUAGGCGGUUUGUCGCGUCUGCUGUGAAAUCCCGAGGCUCAACCUCGGGCCUGCAGUGGGUACGGGCAGACUUGAGUGCGGUAGGGGAGAAUGGAAUUCCUGGUGUAGCGGUGGAAUGCGCAGAUAUCAGGAGGAACACCGAUGGCGAAGGCAGUUCUCUGGGCCGUAACUGACGCUGAGGAGCGAAAGCGUGGGGAGCGAACAGGAUUAGAUACCCUCGUAGUCC